AGGGCACCACCAGGAGUGGAGCCUGCGGCUUAAUUUGACUCAACACGGGAAAACUCACCCGGCCCGGACACUGUAAGGAUUGACAGACUGAGAGCUCUUUCUUAAUUCGGUGGGUGGUGGUGCAUGGCCGUUCUUAGUUGGUGGAGCGAUUUGUCUGGUUAAUUCCGAUAACGAACGAGACUCUGGCCUAUUGAAUAGACGGUGUAUCUUGCAGUAUACCGCGCUUCUUAGAGGGACAAGCGGCGUCUAGCCCCCAUGAAAUAGAGCAAAUAACCAGUCCUGUGAUGCCCUUUAGAUGGCCCGGGGCCUGGCCCCGGCGCCUACCACUUGAAAGAAAUCACGGUGCGAAUAAGCCGGGUUCCGAAAGGAAUUCGGGUAACCCCAAGGUAAUUCCUUUCCCGGUUGGGGAUUAGGGAUUGCAAAUAUUUUUCCCUUUAAAACAGGAAAUUCCCAGAAAAAUGGGGGGCUUAAACUCCCCGUUUAAUUCCGCCCCUGCCCCUUUGUAAAAAAGGGCGGGGG
rnacentral:rRNA from 1 species